UAGGGAAUCUUCCGCAAUGGGCGAAAGCCUGACGGAGCAACGCCGCGUGAGUGAUGAAGGCCCUAGGGUUGUAAAGCUCUUUCACCGGUGAAGAUAAUGACGGUAACCGGAGAAGAAGCCCCGGCUAACUUCGUGCCAGCAGCCGCGGUAAUACGAAGGGGGCUAGCGUUGUUCGGAUUUACUGGGCGUAAAGCGCACGUAGGCGGACUAUUAAGUCAGGGGUGAAAUCCCGGGGCUCAACCCCGGAACUGCCUUUGAUACUGGUAGUCUUGAGUUCGAGAGAGGUGAGUGGAAUUCCGAGUGUAGAGGUGAAAUUCGUAGAUAUUCGGAGGAACACCAGUGGCGAAGGCGGCUCACUGGCUCGAUACUGACGCUGAGGUGCGAAAGCGUGGGGAGCAAACAGG
rnacentral:rRNA from 1 species